CUGCAGAGCAAGUAAAACACUGGUGUUGUGUUUCCCUCACGGAGGUUUGUCGGACGAUGCAGCUUUCACACUUUGAUUAAUCAAAGCGUCGCUUACCAAGAAUAUGUCGCAUGCCGGUGCAGUACACGUUGUGUUCAGCAGAGGUUAGCACAAGUGGUUGGUGACAUGGGUGACUUGUCAGACUUCCAAAGAGAACAAAUCGAGGGAGCCGCUUUUGCAGGAUCGGUUUUAACCAUGACAGCCAAAUUGUUUGAUGUUGCAAGAGCAACAGUCUCCAUGGAUAUGACUGCGUACACAAAGCAUGACAAGACUUAAUCGGUGAGGAAGAAUAGUGGGCAAGAAUCAAAACUGAAUGAUAGGGAACAAGGAUUGUGUCCAAACAACAUAGAACUACUGCAGCAAAUGUAACAGCAGAACUCAAUAUCCACCUUGAAAACCCUGUUUCCACAAAAAUAGUCCACAGAAAACUUUAUAAUGCCAACAUCCAUGGAAGAGCUGCAACAGCUAAACCUGUGAUCACAGACGCAUCAUUUACAUUAUUCCCAACAGCAGGUCGCGUUUAUGUAUGGAGAACCCCCAAGGAAGUGUACAACUUGUACUGUCUGGAUCCAACUCUCACACAUGAAGGUGGAUCUGUGAUGAUUUGGGGGCCAUAUUUUGUUAAUCAGCUUGUCCCAUCAUUAUUCUAAAUGGUCGAGUUACUGCUAGCAAGUAUUUGGACAUUCUAAGUGAUCAGGUGCAUUAUAUGGUCCAAAUGUUGUUUGCCAACAAUUAUUAAAUUGUUCAUUAUAAUAAUAUGCCCAUACACACAGCCAGAAAAGUUCUGUCUUGAUUUGAGGACCACCAAGAUAAACUUCAAUAUCUGCCCUGACUUCGAUAACAUUGAACCACUGUGGGCAGUUUUGGAGAGCAGAGUGAGAAGCAGAUUCUCUUCUUCAACAUCUCUGAAACAAUUGGCAGAUGUUCUGAUAGAUGAUAGGUAUAACAUUCCACUGGAGAGUAUUCAAAAUUCUAUAAUCCUAUUCUUGAAAGUUGGAAGAUGUAUUAACCCCUUAAUGACCACAGCACUUUUCCAUUUUCUGUCCGUUUGGGACCAAGGCUAUUUUUACAUUUUUGCGGUGUUUGUGUUUAGCUGUAAUUUUCUUCUUACUCAUUUACUGUACCUACACAUAUUAUAUACCGUUUUUCUCGCCAUUAAAUGGACUUUCUAAAGAUA